ensembl:lncRNA
CCCGAGACCCUUUCAACGGAUCUGCAGGUUAUUUUCUUAACACUACUGUUAUGAAAUAUUUUCAUAGUAAUACAAAAGACAUUAUCUACCUCUAUUGCUGCGUUAACAUUGGUACUGAUGAUGCAAAAAUCAAGAGUGAGCAAAACUGCUGGCUCCUGAGUACAAAUCAUGUCAGUGGCACCACUGUAUUUUUCACUGUCAUGCACAAGUAUGAGUAAGGUCAGUUUCACCUAUGAAGAGUUUUGAUGAAUGAUUACUGACUUUAUUAAAUUCAUUGAUCCUGUCUUGGACUUUGAAAGAACUCUAUUUUACAGAUUUUUUUUAUUAUACCAUUAUUACCUUUCAUCUUUUUUAUUAUACUGUUAUUACCUUUUUUAUUAUUCUGUGAAUAAAUGGGAAAUAUACACACAGCACUUUUCCGAUAUAUUGAAGUAUAGGGUUAUAGCAAGGAAAGUUACUUUUUUUUUUUUUUUUUUUGUCUUUUUGCCAUUUCUUGGGCCACUCCCACGGCAAAUGGAGGUUCCCAGGCUAGGGAUUGAACUUAAGCCAUGGCAGUAACAGCGCCAGAUCCUUCACCUGCUGCACCACAAGGGAAAUCCAUGGACCAAUGGAUAUUUUAGUGAAACAAAUUAAAGUUCACUGAUUAGUUUCAGGUUCCACAUUGUAAGUAACCCUUAAGAUACUACCAUUUGAGAGUCUGGGUGCAGAAUCACAUAACCAUAAUUAUUAGAAAAGCUAUCAAAACUUUCCUCUCUUCUCCAACCUCGUGUCUGCACAAGGCUAAGUAUCUUUAGAUACUUCAACCAAAGCAACCUAUUCCAAGAGAUUAAAUGCAAAAGCAGAUGAGAAUCUUAGCUAUUAAGCCAGACAGUAAAGAAAGCUUCAAACAUUUAAAAUAAUACCAUCCUUCUUGCUAGCGCUUUUGUUUCAGAAAAAUAGUUUGGGUUUUUUUGGGGUUUUUUUGGGGGGGGGUCUUUUUAGGGCUGCACCCUGCAGAAUAUGAAGUUUCCCAGGCUAGGGGUCUAAUCAGAGCUACAGCUGCUGGCCUACACCACAGCCACAGCAACGUGGGAUCCAAGCCACAUCUGCGACCUACACAACAGCUCAUGGCAAUGCCAGAUCCUUAACCCACUGAGCAAGGCCAGGGAUUGCCCCUGCAGCCUCAUGGUUCCUACUCAGAUUCGUUUCCACUGCACCAUGACAGGAACUCUGAAAUAGUUAUUUUUAUUGGAAAAAAAUGUCAUUCAUAUUGACAAGUAUCCACUUACCACUUUUUUUUUUUUUUUUUGGUCUUUGUCUUUUUAGGGCUGCACUCACGGCAUAAGGAGGCUAGGGGUCUAAUCGGAGUUGUAGCCGCUGGCCUACGCCACAGCCACAGUCACACCAGAUCCAAGCCACAACCUAUACCACAGGUCACGGCAAUGCCGGAUCCUUAAUCCACUAAGCAAGACCAGGGAUUGAACCCAUAACCUCAUGGUUCCCAGUCUGACUCACAUAUGCUGAGCCAUGACGGGAACUCCUACCACUAUUAUUUGUAAAUGAAAUAGUAAAUAAAUAUUUUCAAAGUUAUCUGUUUUAUUUGCUCGUCUAUCGAAUACUGAUACCUAUAACCCAUCCACCUAAAACAAAUGUCUUUAAGGACCUUAAUUUCUAGCAGAGUAGAGAGGGUCCAAGAUCAAGAAGUUUGAGAACUACUGUACUACCCUAUUUGACUCUGGCUGACUGUUCAAUGCCUCACCAGGUCCAAUACUGCCCAUGAAGCUUCCCUAAGCAUCCCUACCCCAUG